rnacentral:ncRNA from 12 species
ACUCACUGAGGGCGGAACUGGCAGCCGCCGCCGGAUAGCUGAAAAGCUUGAUUAGGAGAUGCAGGUUAGUCACCCUGCCUUGAGU